rnacentral:rRNA from 1 species
AUACGGAGGGCGCAAGCGUUGUUCGGAAUCAUGCGGCGUAAAGCGCGCGUAGGCGGCUUGGCAAGUCGGGUGUGCAAUCCCGGGGCUCAACCCCGGAACUGCACUCGAAACUGCCUAGCUAGAGUCUCGGAGAGGUAGGCGGAAUUCCCGGUGUAGAGGUGAAAUUCGUAGAUAUCGGGAGGAACACCAGUGGCGAAGGCGGCCUACUGGACGAUGACUGACGCUGAGGUGCGAAAGCGUGGGGAGCAAACAGGAUUAGAUACCCCGGUAGUCC